UGCAGUCGAACGAUGAUGCCCAGCUUGCUGGGUGGAUUAGUGGCGAACGGGUGAGUAACACGUGAGUAACCUGCCCCUGACUCUGGGAUAAGCGUUGGAAACGACGUCUAAUACUGGAUAUGAUCACUGGCCGCAUGGUCUGGUGGUGGAAAGAUUUUUUGGUUGGGGAUGGACUCGCGGCCUAUCAGCUUGUUGGUGAGGUAAUGGCUCACCAAGGCGACGACGGGUAGCCGGCCUGAGAGGGUGACCGGCCACACUGGGACUGAGACACGGCCCAGACUCCUACGGGAGGCAGCAGUGGGGAAUAUUGCACAAUGGGCGAAAGCCUGAUGCAGCAACGCCGCGUGAGGGAUGACGGCCUUCGGGUUGUAAACCUCUUUUAGUAGGGAAGAAGCGAAAGUGACGGUACCUGCAGAAAAAGCACCGGCUAACUACGUGCCAGCAGCCGCGGUAAUACGUAGGGUGCAAGCGUUGUCCGGAAUUAUUGGGCGUAAAGAGCUCGUAGGCGGUUUGUCGCGUCUGCUGUGAAAUCCCGAGGCUCAACCUCGGGCUUGCAGUGGGUACGGGCAGACUAGAGUGCGGUAGGGGAGAUUGGAAUUCCUGGUGUAGCGGUGGAAUGCGCAGAUAUCAGGAGGAACACCGAUGGCGAAGGCAGAUCUCUGGGCCGUAACUGACGCUGAGGAGCGAAAGCAUGGGGAGCGAACAGGAUUAGAUACCCUGGUAGUCCAUGCCGUAAACGUUGGGCGCUAGAUGUAGGGACCUUUCCACGGUUUCUGUGUCGUAGCUAACGCAUUAAGCGCCCCGCCUGGGGAGUACGGCCGCAAGGCUAAAACUCAAAGGAAUUGACGGGGGCCCGCACAAGCGGCGGAGCAUGCGGAUUAAUUCGAUGCAACGCGAAGAACCUUACCAAGGCUUGACAUACACCGGAAACGGCCAGAGAUGGUCGCCCCCUUGUGGUCGGUGUACAGGUGGUGCAUGGUUGUCGUCAGCUCGUGUCGUGAGAUGUUGGGUUAAGUCCCGCAACGAGCGCAACCCUCGUUCUAUGUUGCCAGCGGGUUAUGCCGGGGACUCAUAGGAGACUGCCGGGGUCAACUCGGAAGGAAGGUGGGGAUGACGUCAAAUCAUCAUGCCCCUUAAGUCUUGGGCUUCACC
rnacentral:rRNA from 1 species